AAAAAACUUCUUGUCUUGUGCUUCAAUAAUUUUAACUUUAAGCACAAUGGCACAGAAAGACUAUAUCGUGGACGUGCCGAUGGAGGACGCCGAAUUAGAAGAACAAAUUUAAAAAAUUGAAAUAAAAUCCGAAGAAAAUGAAGCAUUAAAAAAAGAAAAUCGUAGACUCUACGAGAAAAUAAAAAUGUUACAAUACCACAUGGCAAAAUAUGAGAAAAUAAGUACUGGAAAGGAGAAUUAGGAAAAUACGAACAAUCAACAAGAUCCAGGAGAAGGAACUUCACAAGGAAACCAAAAGAGAACAAUAACAGAACAAAACAACACAAGUGUGGAUGAAUCAACACAAGAUAUUCAACACAAGCGUAAGUAAAUAAGAAAAAUACACAUAUAU